rnacentral:rRNA from 1 species
UACGUAGGGUGCAAGCGUUGUCCGGAAUUAUUGGGCGUAAAGAGCUCGUAGGCGGUUUGUCGCGCCUGCUGUGAAAACCCGAGGCUCAACCUCGGGCCUGCAGUGGGUACGGGCAGACUAGAGUGCGGUAGGGGAGAUUGGAAUUCCUGGUGUAGCGGUGGAAUGCGCAGAUAUCAGGAGGAACACCGAUGGCGAAGGCAGAUCUCUGGGCCGUAACUGACGCUGAGGAGCGAAAGCAUGGGGAGCGAACAGG